AAACAAUCUGUUCAUUACAAUCUGAUCUCUGGUGGUUGAUUCAUUUUCACCAACCCGGUUGCUUAAGCCAUUGAAUUAGACGCUCAGUUUAAAUGUUAGUUGAUUCGUUCAUCAAUUGCUGCUUUUGAUUGUUCUAAUAAAUGGAAUAUUUGUCUUGAUGAUCAACUAAUUAUCUUUUGAUAUUCAAAUAAAAAAAAGGUGCUUAAAGUUAGUAAAAGCAUAAAGAUAUUACCCAAGUUUCUCUCUUUGGAGCUGCCCUCGCAAUAUCUUAAGACGAAGCGAAACUAGUAUGCAGUGGAUUAAACAAUCAGAAUUACCUAGGAUACAGAGAUGUAUCAAGGGUUAUACUGGUAAAUACCCGGAUGCUCCAUAGAGUAGAUCCUAGAAAAUUGAGAUAUGGAUAUCAAAUUUGGAUUUUACUCGAAAAUUGUAAAUUUCUGAUGAUGAAAUAAUUACACUGAGAAUAAAAUAACUUGAAACAUUUUUCUUAUCCAAACAAUAAUUUCAAAUCGUGUUACUAAACUAUAACCGUUGAAAUAGUGAUGAUAAUAAGAUGAAAAUUUAUAUUCCAAACGACGACAAUUAAAAAAUUAACGAUUGGCUAUUUAAAAGCAGUAGACAAGUUAAAUUACUUUUUAGUUGAUCAAAAGUAAUCAAACAUCAAAGUUAAUCAAAUUAAAUUUAAUCAACCAUUGAUUUUGUGAGUUUCCAACUUUAACCAAGUCACAAUGAGAGUACCAAUUAUCUUAGUUUUGAUAAUCAGUUUUAAUUUAUUUCAGCAAAUUGUCUCAAUCAACGCAGAUGAAGUUGGUUCCUCAGUCGAUGAAGUUGAAACUAGUGGGAUUUUAACCUUUCUUGGCUUUGAAUUCAACAAGAAAUUUCUUCAAUUCAUUUCAACAAUUAAAGACAAUUUAUUUGGUUGGAUAUUAAAUUACUUUGGUUUACCCAAUUAGCAAUUUUGUUUUAUCAAUUGAUUUUUUAGUCAAAAAUAUAAAAUGUUUCGUAUUGUACUUGAUUAAAAUGACGUCGAUUAAAUUGGCAAUUUUAUAUCGA